rnacentral:rRNA from 1 species
GAGUUUGAUCCUGGCUCAAAACGUACGCUGGCGGCACGCCUAACACAUGCAAGUCGAACGAAGUAGCAAUACUUAGUGGCAGACGGGUGAGUAACAUGUAGGUAUCUGCCCUUUGGCCUGGAAUAACACGAGGAAACUUGUGCUAAUACCGGAUAAGUCUUUACGGAGAAAGCUUUAUGCACCAUUGGAUGAGCCUGCACUUGAUUAGUUUGUUGGUGGGGUAAUGGCCUACCAAGACUGUGAUCAAUAGCUGAUUUGAGAGGAUGAUCAGCCACAUUGGGACUGAGACACGGCCCAAACUCCUACGGGAGGCAGCAGUGGGGAAUCUUGCACAAUGGAGGAAACUCUGAUGCAGCGAUGCCGCGUGAGUGAAGAAGGCCUUUGGGUUGUAAAGCUCUUUCGUCGGGGAAGAAAAUGACUGUACCCGAAUAAGAAGGUCCGGCUAACUUCGUGCCAGCAGCCGCGGUAAUACGAAGGGACCUAGCGUAGUUCGGAAUUACUGGGCUUAAAGAGUUCGUAGGUGGUUGAAAAAGUUGGUGGUGAAAUCCCAGAGCUUAACUCUGGAACUGCCAUCAAAACUUUUCAGCUAGAGUAUGAUAGAGGAAAGUAGAAUUUCUAGUGUAGAGGUGAAAUUCGUAGAUAUUAGAAAGAAUACCAAUUGCGAAGGCAGCUUUCUGGAUCAUUACUGACACUGAGGAACGAAAGCAUGGGUAGCGAAGAGGAUUAGAUACCCUCGUAGUCCAUGCCGUAAACGAUGUGUGUUAGACGUUGGAAAUUUAUUUUCAGUGUCGCAGCGAAAGCGAUAAACACACCGCCUGGGGAGUACGACCGCAAGGUUAAAACUCAAAUGAAUUGACGGGGACCCGCACAAGUAGUGGAGCAUGUGGUUUAAUUCGAAGAUACGCGCAGAACCUUACCAACACUUGACAUGUUCGUCGCGACUCUAAGAGAUUAGAGUUUUCGGUUCGGCCGGACGAAACACAGGUGCUGCAUGGCUGUCGUCAGCUCGUGUCGUGAGAUGUUGGGUUAAGUCCCGCAACGAGCGCAACCCUCACUUUUAGUUGCCAUCAUUUAGUCGGGCACUCUGAAAGAACUGCCAGUGAUAAGCUGGAGGAAGGUGGGGAUGACGUCAAGUCCUCAUGGCCCUUACGUGUUGGGCUACACACGUGCUACAAUGGUAUCUACAACAGGAAGCAAGACUGCGAAGUUAAGCAAAUCCCUAAAAGAUACCUCAGUUCGGAUUGCACUCUGCAACUCGAGUGCAUGAAGCUGGAAUUACUAGUAAUCGUGGAUCAGCGUGCCACGGUGAAUGCGUUCCCGGGUCUUGUACACACCGCCCGUCACACCAUGGGAGUUGGUUCUACCUUAAGGCAAGGUUUUAAACCCUUGACCACGGUAUAGUCAGCGACUGGGGUGAAGUCGUAACAAGGUAACC